UACGUAGGUGGCAAGCGUUGUCCGGAUUUAUUGGGUUUAAAGGGUGCGUAGGCGGCCUUGUAAGUCAGUGCUGAAAUAUCCCGGCUUAACCGGGAGGGUGGCAUUGAUACUGCAGGGCUUGAGUAAAGUUGAGGUUGGCGGAAUUGACGGUGUAGCGGUGAAAUGCUUAGAUAUCGUCAAGAACACCGAUAGUGAAGACAGCUCGCUACACAUAUAUUGACUCUGAGGCACGAAAGCGUGGGGAUCAAACAGG
rnacentral:rRNA from 1 species